rnacentral:misc_RNA from 1 species
AAAGUCGUAACAAGGUUUCUGUAGGUGAACCUGCGGAAGGAUCAUUAUUGAAGUAAACCUGAUAGAUUGUUGCUGGUUCUUUAAUGAACAUGUGCACAUCUGUCAUCUUUAUAUCUCCACCUGUGCACCUUUUGUAGACCUGGACAAGUUUCUUAAUCCUAGUAUUAAGGUUUUGGGAUUGACUUUAUUGACUUUCCUUAUAUUUCUGGGUCUAUGUUUAUUCAAAUACCCUAAUGUAUGUUAUAGAAUGUAAUAAGUGGGCCCUUGUGCCUAUAACAAUAUACAACUUUCAGCAACGGAUCUCUUGGCUCUC